rnacentral:ribozyme from 1 species
AGAGGUUGCAACGCUGAGCCCACAACAGAAGCACUCAUGGUGCAGCCUGCCAGAUUCCAACAAAUCUGUGAAUUCUGCU